UACGUAGGGGGCUAGCGUUGUCCGGAAUCAUUGGGCGUAAAGAGCGUGUAGGCGGUCCGGUAAGUCCGUUGUGAAAGUCAGGGGCUCAACCCUUGAAUGCCGGCGGAUACUGUCGGGCUAGAGUCCGGAAGAGGCGAGUGGAAUUCCCGGUGUAGCGGUGAAAUGCGCAGAUAUCGGGAGGAACACCUAUGGCGAAGGCAGCCCCCUGGGCUAACACUGACGCUCAUGCACGAAAGCGUGGGGAGCAAACAGG
rnacentral:rRNA from 1 species